rnacentral:rRNA from 1 species
GACGAACGCUGGCGGCGUGCUUAACACAUGCAAGUCGAACGGAAAGGCCCUGCUUUUGUGGGGUGCUCGAGUGGCGAACGGGUGAGUAACACGUGAGUAACCUGCCCUUGACUUUGGGAUAACUUCAGGAAACUGGGGCUAAUACCGGAUAGGAGCUCCUGCUGCAUGGUGGGGGUUGGAAAGUUUCGGCGGUUGGGGAUGGACUCGCGGCUUAUCAGCUUGUUGGUGGGGUAGUGGCUUACCAAGGCUUUGAGGGGUAGCCGGCCUGGGAGGGUGACCGGCCACAUUGGGACUGAGAUACGGCCCAGACUCCUAUGGGAGGCAGCGGUGGGGAAUGUUGCACUAUGGGCUGAAGCCUGGUGCAGCAACGCAGCGUGCGGGAUGAGGGCCUUCGGGUUGUAAACCGCUUUCGCCUGUGACGAAGCGUGAGUGACGGUAAUGGGUAAAGAAGCACCGGCUAACUACGUG